AGGACUGGGAUGACUGAAGACCUUCUUUCUCAAAGCUAAAGGAAAGCUGAUUUUUCAGUGUGGUAGUUCCUCCUCAAUUCUCCAGUACUGAUGCCUGCUCCAGAAUAAGGUCCCUCCCACAGGAGACAAUCUUUCAUGAAAACCUCUAAUGUGGGCACCUUCUCACAAGAUGCAGUUCUUCAAGAAUUGUUCCAGCAUACCUUAAACUCCUGUCAUUAUGCUCUACCUGCUUGGGAGAACAUGGUGUCUUUUGGGAAGAUACACCAAGUGUUUGUGUAACAGAUUUUGAUCAUGCAGGUGUUGACAUAUUUGCACAUACAUACUUUUUUUUGCAUAUGCAGUGUGGGGUGAACCAUCAGGGAAGGAUAGACAUCAACAAAGAAUUCCUUUUGUCAUUUGAAGAGUCCAAAUGAGUAUCCUUCUUCUCAAUAUUCUAUUAAAGAGAGCUUUUGGUUGCUACAAAUUUGAAGGCAUCAAAGUGCUUACUGGCAGGGAUUACAGUCUGAUUUGUUUACAAAACUAAUGCUUAUCUCACAUAAGAAUAUGUAGUAAUAAACCUAUUUCAGGACAAAAUGUUUUGGUAGGGCAAUAUGUCAGUAUGCCAGGGAUCUCCUUCCUGCUCUACCCUGGCUGUGGUAUUUCAGCAUAGGCAAUAUAGGCCCCUACAGCAAUGGCACAGAGAUCACAGCAGGAUGUGUUGCAGGCAGGAAAAAAAGAGCAUACCAGCAUCUAGUAAUUUAGUGGUAUGAAUGCUUGGAGGUUUGAUGCUACACACCAGUAGUGUAACUAGUAAUGUAACUAGUCACUGCUCUGCAGACUGUAUCAUGAAGGGAAUACCUCCUACUCUUAGGGUAGAUAAAUUUUUUCAGUACUUGACAGGAAAGCAGGGGAUACAAAGACAAAACUGGUCCAUUGCCACAAUUUAAUCUUCCAGAUACUACUUAACAAAAUAAAUCUGUGGGGUUUGCCUUGUCCAUAUUACUGAUGUGCCUCUUGACCAUAUUACCUCAUGUCUCUUGAUUGUGAUUGUGAGAUGCUGUGCUGUGAGGUCUUACCAGAGGAAGUGCACAAGAGGAAACCCACUGUGUCUUUUCUUGGGGAAACAACUUACCUCAUUUUGUUAACAAAGUUUGAGAUGCUUAUGUAGAACUUCUCUGCCCUUGCAACUGCCAACAUACUAAUGUUUUUAAUUGCAAAGAAAUUGACACUAAAAAGAAGAAAAAAGAACUCUCUGUACCACUAAUUAAGAUAAUAUACCGGAAAAAGAGAACUUCAAUGAAAUGCAGGGCCAGCCUCCCAGUGUACCUGAUAACCAUUUCUUCUGCAAAAUGAGUAUGUAACAAGGAGGAGGGGGACGUAUUUUUUUUAUGUUUCAGAGGGUUUUUUUUUAUAGAUUGUAUUAGAGCAAAAGAGAAUCUGCUUUGUCUAAAAAACAAAAAAAUUCCAAACCGCACAGCCACGUACCGUUUUCACUAUUCAAAACAAUUCCUAUAAUCAGAACUAAUUUUUUUCUAUUUUUCUCAUGAGGACAGUCUAUAAAACUGAAGUACUAUGUGUUUACAGUCUCCUAAUAUUAAAAUGUCUGAAGAAAAAUGUGAUAGUACAGGGUAUUUUGUUAUAAGAAGCACGAGCUUUCCUGCUUUAUUAAACAGAAGAUUUUUUAAAUGUAUUUUUUUUCAUUUAGUUGUCUUUUUUAACUUUGGCAUUAAUUUCCAUUCAAUAAAAUAAGUAUGCCAAAUCUAAAGGAAAUCACAGUCAAUAAUCAAACAUAUUUUUAGAAAAUACUUGUAUGCAGUCUUAUUUGCAAAGUUAUUGCCUUUUUCAUAACUUUUACAAAUGCACUUUUAGUAAAUUUUGUUGAAAACAUGCCUUUAAAAAAAAUUAGGAAAAGUAUGCACAAAUGUGCUUCAAAAAUGUUGAGGUUUUUCAGUAGCAGACUUACAGUAAUUGUAAGUAAUAUUUUUAUUCAUUGCCAAUACAAGGUAUAUAUAAUGUUAGCUGCCUGGCAUGGUUGUUUCAGCUGGCACUUGCUUAACUGAGGAGUACUAUUUUGCUAACCUGUGGAAAUUAGGUCACAUGUGAUUGUGUAAAUGUAUCUUGCUAUAUUAUAAUGAAUUUUCUUUUUUAAAUUUUUUUUUAUGUGUGAUAAAUAUAGCCAAGGUUAUUGCCAGAUGUCUAUGAAUAGAGGGCAAAAAUGACUUCAUAUAAAUAUUUGUGUUUCACAAUACCAAUAUCUUCCCAGUUCCCAGAUCAAGAUUCCUGUACAAGCUCACCCUUGCAUGAUUGACUUCUAAUGACCUCAGUAUAUUAAAAAAGAUGGUUCUCAAAUCUAAAACCGUGAAGCAACAGCACUGCUACAAAGAAAUAGCUGCACUUAGGCCAGACUUGAAAGAUAACAUUCCUCAUCUCAGCCACACUUUUCACUUCACUGGGAAGAUAAAUGGAGCACAAGCCAUACAUAUGGAAAAGAAUAAUUUUUGUUUUUUCAUAGAAAAACCAGUUUACUUCUCAGUUGUCUUUAAUAAACUUUGUAGAAUCUUGAA